CCAGGUUAGAGAACUAAACGAAAAGUAGUGCAGGCCCUGUGUUUUCUGUGUGCUUUCCAGAAGAAACCAAAUUGUCUGUGAGGACAUCUAGUUUCAUUCCAUCAUGCUUUUAAAGCCUAGCCAGAAUGGGCAAGGUUGGAAGGGACCACAGUGGUCAUCUGGUCCAACCUCCAGAGCACGUUGUGCAGGACUGCAUCCAGGUGGUUCUUGAGUAACUCCACAACCAGUUCCUGACUAUGAUACAGAAUCUAUGAGAGGUGCAUACAUGAGAAGGUAGAGGAAGACACAACCUGGGAGUGUUUAAGGUGACAGGACAUAACCAAGUCCAUCAGACCAGAAGGGACGCAUCUGAUGUUGCAAAGGGAGCUGAUGCCACAGUGAAACUGCUCACUUUAUGGUUUUUGAAAGGCUGUGGUGAUCAGAAAUUUCACCACACUUGAUGAAAACAAAUGCCAUCCAUUUCUUCAGAGAAGGGCAUAAUGAAGAAGAAUGACAGGCACUGUAAUUCUUUCCAAGUCAUGAGAAAAAAGGUAUCGUAAUGCCAGAAACAUCUACAGAUAAAACAACUUGUGACAGAACUUA